AAUUGAAGAGUUUGAUCAUGGCUCAGAUUGAACGCUGGCGGCAGGCCUAACACAUGCAAGUCGAGCGGAAACGACUUAACUGAACCUUCGGGGAACGUUAAGGGCGUCGAGCGGCGGACGGGUGAGUAAUGCCUGGGAAUAUGCCUUAGUGUGGGGGAUAACUAUUGGAAACGAUAGCUAAUACCGCAUAAUGUCUUCGGACCAAAGAGGGGGACCUUCGGGCCUCUCGCGCUAAGAUUAGCCCAGGUGAGAUUAGCUAGUUGGUGAGGUAAGAGCUCACCAAGGCGACGAUCUCUAGCUGGUCUGAGAGGAUGAUCAGCCACACUGGAACUGAGACACGGUCCAGACUCCUACGGGAGGCAGCAGUGGGGAAUAUUGCACAAUGGGCGAAAGCCUGAUGCAGCCAUGCCGCGUGUAUGAAGAAGGCCUUCGGGUUGUAAAGUACUUUCAGUAGGGAGGAAG
rnacentral:rRNA from 1 species